CAAAAAACAGGACUCUGAUCUUUGCUUGAUGUUCCAAAAAUCUGUCUCAUCUGGAUUCCCAUGGGUCAAUCAGUUUCCCUUUUUGCUGGUUCUUCUAAUUUAGGCACAGUUUUAUUUGCCCAGUUUGUGCAUGUAGCAGAAUGAGAGUUUACAGUAAACCCAACCUGCCAGUGAGCAAAUAGAUAUAGAAAUACAGAUUCACAUGGAUACAUGCUUCUCACCAGAUCCUUUCAACUCAUCAUGGCUUCUCAGGGACAGACAGAGAAACCUGCAGAGAAAUGGCUUAGCACAUGCACACACUUUUCCAGACACACAAUGAGCAAUGACCAGAGGACAUCACUUUUACCAGCACUCACGAGUUACGUAUAGUACUAUAGUUAUUGGACAAUUCAUGAAGUGCAGACAAUAUGCUUAGUGAUGGACCCACUUUCGUUAUUAGGCUGGAAAAACAUCUGCUUCUAACAUCCCAACCCUUUUGUUUCAUGGUUACCAAGGCACCUUGCACAGAAGACAAUAGCAGGCUGGCCACCUCUGCCCAGCUUCCCCAGCAGCCUACACAGUGCAUCACCACAUCUGACUGGGACAUGGACAGGAGAGGCAUAACUAUGUCAUCCAGCUUCAUCACUGUGAUCUGUCUGAAUGGAGGAACUAGGUCUUUUACUAAUGCAGUCUGCCACAAUCAUUUUUAGGAGGAAAGUAAAACAAAUGUGAAUAUACGUAGGAUGGAAGAAUAGUAGGAAAUUUUGCUGCCCAACAAAAUGCUGUAUCUGUGACAUCUGGGCAGUAGGAAUAAUCCUUAAAUCCCUAAAUACACUUGCUCUGGGGAAGGGAAAACAAAGUAAGUAGAAAAAAGCAAAAAGAAACAUCUACUAGAACAAGUGAACUCCACUGUGAGUUUUUCAGUUACAGACAUCUAUCUGUCAUCAUUGCUUUUAUGAAUAUCAGAAUCAGUGACAAGUCUGUCAAUAGAAGAAGAGGAAAAUGAAACCAUGUCUUUAAAAUAGAGGUGAAAUAUAUCAUAUAUAUAUCUGUGGGCUGUCAAGUUAAUGUGCACAUAGAAAAUGAAAACCAGAAUGCCCUCUAAGCAGGUCAUUGAAAUAAGGAGGUUAAAGUUAUACUAGAAUAGUCUUGGUUUGUAAGUUUUGCUCAUUUACUGAAGAACUAGAGAUGCAUGAAUAAAAUUUUGUUUGUAAGAAAAAAACA
rnacentral:lncRNA from 1 species